UUCCAUUCUUGGCUGCCUAAGAUCUCCCCAUUAUUAGUGGUAAGAACUUAUAACAUUUGGAGUAUUAAGUGUGUAGCUUUAUUCAUAUUGUAUUCUGACCGACUUCACCAGUGGAGUUUGGGUAUUAGGAGUUUAAAGCUCCAAAGUAAGGUAUGUUAAGGUUUUUCCUUUUCUUUUGGCAUGAUUCCUUAAGAUUUUAAUUAUCAGGUCUAGCAUGUUAUCAAAGAGUUAGUUAUUCAAAAUUUGCUUGGAAAUACUAUUUGUUAUUACUUGAAAGGUUAACAGAUACGUCUUGUGAAGUACCAUUCAACUUUCUCAUUAUUUAUGGAAUUCUUUUGGUCGUUAUAUGAAGCAACACCACUUGAUGGGAGAAUUAUGAUUUUUAUUGAAAAUUUAAGUGGGGUGAAUGAAUUAGACAGACCAUUUUUACUCUGUUGACAAGUUGUUAAGUGUUAUUAGCUUUUUGAAGUUGACACCAUGGUCUAAUAUGCACAAGAUCUUAUUAUUUGUAGUUAACAUUAUGUGUUAUUGUCUUGUAUUUGUCGGUAUCGUUUUCAUGUACUUUGUCGACUCUAUCACAUAAGCUUGAGAUAUAAGUUUAAUUUUACUUCGAAAGGUUAUCUGAUGGUCUUGGCAGUCAUGUAAUUCGUGAAGCGGUUAUAGUAGAGAUUCGAGUUAAAAAAGGAUUCGAUUUUCGUUGUUGGAAUGAAGAGGAUCAUAAUUAUUUAUUGGAGAAACUUACUUUUUCAUAUGUGCAGUUUUUAGUGAUUUUAGUAUAGCUCGAUUGUCUGGUUUUUUUGUUAUAUACUUGACAUAGGGGACACAAGACAUGGAAUGUUCUGUCCAGCUCCCAACAUAGAAAUCCCCUAUAUUCUAUUGUUAGUAUUUUCAGGAUAACUUUUUGUACAGAACAUAUUUUGCGGUGGUUCUGGACUCGUUGUAACCCCGAGAAAUAUAUCUACAACUUUCAUGAAGUCGAUGAAGUCCAGUUCUAAUCUGUACCUUUUCAAAACUAAGUUACAAGACGAGAGGGUGGGCUGCCCAGAUUUGUUGUUUGGAGGAUAAAGUGUAAUUUUGCACAACCUGGGAUUACUUUAGAUGUUAAUAUAGAUUCAUAUCAACAUGAUGAAGCUAUUUGAAAUUACAAAGAUAUAUAAUUGUGUGUUAAAGGUUGUAUCUACUCGUGUGUAAGUUGAGGUACUUGAUGCAUUUUUUAGUCUACGAUUUGGGGUAUUGAAUUUGUGGUAGGGCUAUUUAUGUGCUACUAACCUAAGGUAGAUACCAUUUUUCAGGGGUGCGAAAUUCACGGAGUUCUUAACUUUCUACUAGUAUGUUUCUUCCUAUGUUUCUUAUUAUCCAUAGCUCUAAUACUAUUUUUCGGGGGUGCGGAAUUCACGGAGUUCAUGACUAUUUUUGGUAGUGUGGUAGGUAGUGUGGUAGGUGAAGAAUUCAUGGUAUUUUUGGUCUUUUUGGUAGGUGUACCAUUUUUGGUAGGUGAGGAAUUCAUUUUAUGUUUUGGCUAAAUAUUUUAUUAUAAUAUUCUUUUGCUAAGUGUCUUAAUCUUGAUAUCUCUUUAAUAUUAUUUAUGAUAUAUUCUAGAUAUAAGAUAUAUUGGGUUCUUAGAUACAUAUAUAAUUUUUUCUCUAUUAAUUGUUCUAAUAGUUUUAUAUCUUCCAUAGAUUCUGUCCAAUAUCAUAAAUAUUCGUAGUUCAUUUUAAUCUGAAUUUAUUUCUAAAUCAUAUCAUUCUAUUCUUUCGAGGUCUAAACCAUGUAGGUCUAUUUCAUAUCACUGUUGAUUUAAUAUAUCUUCUUAUUCGUUAUCAUUAAAUAUUUUUUCCCAUAUGAUUCUUCUUAAUUCAAUUAUUUCUAUACCUUUAAGUAUAUAUAGGAUUAAAGUUUCAUAGUUUUUUAUUAUUUCAUCAUGCAUGUAUGUAGUCAUGUUCUUUAUCAUGCAGGUUUUUAUUUUCAAUUAUUCCUUCCUAUCAUAUUCAUAAUUGAUUAAAUUCAUAUUAGAUCAUUAUGAACUAGAUUAAUUUGUUUAUCAUGUUUUUCUGUCACUACUAGCAUCGUACUUUAGCGGAUACUUCCUUCUUAUCAACGCCUCAACUUUGUUUACUCCCCUAAAUGGCUCUCCUCGCCUACCGGUUUCAACAUUAGGAUGACAUAGUAUAGAAGUUUUCUCCCUGUUUUCAGUGUGCUAAUAAACUAGAAAUCAUGAUUCAAAUAAUUCUAAUACAUAAUAACUAACAUAAAUUUAUUCAAUCAUAUAUAUGAUAUUCAGGAAUAUAUGAAAUUAGUUCUGCAUAUUUAUUGAACAAUAUACCUUUGCCUCUUGCUUAUCCAUGAUAUCUGAGGGUUGCUCCAUUAUCUAUUAAAUAUUUAAAUAUUUGAGAGAGUGUUUUUUUUAUGAAGGUGCUUCGUUUAUUCAAAGUCUGUCCUUUAUGUUACAUCUUCCUUUCUUUAUAUAGAAAGUAAAUCCUAUCUACUGCACUUACAAAUUCUAUCCUAUCUUUAUAUUAAUGUACAAUAAUGCACAAUAAUGCACUACUUCAUGACUUUCUUACAUAAUACUAUUUACUUUAUGACUUUUUUACACUACCACACCUACCUUCUUUACACUUGUCCGUACACACCAUACCUACUACUUUUAAUAAGCAUCCUACAUUGUUGACUAAUUUACACUACACUUUCUUACAAUAAGACUAAUAAUUUACAAUAAUAGUACUAUUCACUAUUUGCUUUUGGCUUUUUUGGCCAAAUAUAUCUUCUUUGCCUUAUCUCUUUAGUUGUCUUUAUCUUCUUUGUCCCUAUCUUUUUUGUCUUGACUUUAUUCUAGCUGGACAUCGGGAAUCACGUUGUCUUCUCCAUUACAUUUUGAACAUAGAUGAUCAGGGUAUUUGUGUCCAAUUAGCUUGCAAUAUCUGGUUAAUAGUUCUGGCAAAAUAAAUUAUGCUUUGAGCGCUCUUGUCGUAGGUCUUUCUUCUGGUUUUAAUAAUGAUAAAAUCCAUCGCUGGACUUCAUCCAUGUCUGCUUUCCUUAGUUCUCUUGAAUUUGAAUAUAUCAUUAACUGGUCUCUAGAGUAGUAACUUCAUAUAGCAUUUUCGUUCAAAUAAUUGUUUGCUAACUCUUGUAUAAUCGUUGAUAUACCAAUUAUUCUUUUAUUGGCAUAAAAACAUGGUACCUCUAUUUUUUGUAUUUCUUCUUGUUGUCCGAUAUCAUCAGGUAUAAUCAUAUCUUUGGUUAAUCCUAUCUUAAUAACUUGAAUUGGAGGUUUUAUCUCCUCGUAUAAUAUCUCCGCUGGUGCUGUAUAAAAUUUAUAUAAAAUAAAUUUCCUUUGGCAACUCUUUUAUAUGUGAAGAAUGCUUUGUGUAACUCUGGUAUUCCACUUAUCUCUUCUCCAUCGUAUGUAUAUACGGUAUUUAAUAGUCCAUAAUUGUAACAUGUUCUUACUAAAUUGGCGGUAGUUUUUGGUUGUGCAAUUAGCUUGUUAUAACCUUGUAAUUUUUGGGUUAGUUAGUCUUGAUUUGGUUCUUUUGUAGUGGAUCUAGGAUUACGG
rnacentral:lncRNA from 1 species